rnacentral:lncRNA from 1 species
CUGUGUUGGAUGUAGGCGUGGUGGAUACUUCGUCACAAGCAAUGAAAAUGAGAACCGCACUGAAGAUUGAAACGAGGAUCAGAAGGAUUACCAGGCCAAGUUCUUCUCAUGAGGACAAGCUCAGACACAUCACCCCAUUCAAGAUGCUGGUCAUGUAUUGUCUGCUGUCAUCCAAUUGGUCUAGGCCAAAGGCAAGAAAUGGAGAAAUAUCAGCCUCCUUUUGUGCAUUGAACUCUAAAAAAGCAUGGCAGGUAGAAUGCAGAGAAAGGUUUGUGUGGAUGCCAGAGUUUACGAAGCAUGUGUCAGAGAACUACCGGGAGUUACAAAACAUGGCUUGUAUAGGAAAUACUAAUUGUUUACAAAGUGCUUCUGUCAUCAGUCACUUCAAAUGUGAGUAGAGGAAAUAUGAAAUGACUCCUUGGAAACAGGCAAAUCAAAUACCAGGUAGCAUGCCGCUCUUUUCUUCUAGCACUAAGCCAUGUUAUUUCACAACACUAAAAAUGUCUUAUGUAAUUUCGUGAAAGGAGCUACGGCUGAAGCAUUCAGUGCCCUGCAUUCCAUUGCUUCAGCCCAGCAUAACUUGAGCUGUGUUUGAAGUGGACAGUGGAUGCCUACCUUGCCUCACUCCAGCUGCCUCAGGGCUUCCUACAAACCUGCAGGCCUCAGCUCCAUGCCGGUUUAGUGCGAUGACAUUAGCAAUCCUUGGGCAGCUGCACAAUGAAGAGAAUAAAUCAGAAGAUAAGUGCUCCUCUCUCCUAGCCUUGACUAAGCAAGGGUGCGACACAAGAUCUACCCUCAUCUGAGAGACCCGGGCAAGUUGAACUGCUGCUACUGACAGUGACCUUUGUUGUCACAUUUCUUUCCAACUGCUUUAUCUCAUGCUUCCUACCUCUUCAACUCCUACUUCCUGGUAUUUCUUCUCAGAAAGGACAACUCCCAUUUCAGUUCUUUUCUCAAUCUUUACUUUCAGAACAACUCAACCUAAGACAAUAACAGUAAGUCCCCAACUCAGGAACAUUUGAGGUGUGAGCUUUCACAGAUACGAACGGACCUUGCAGUAUGAACAUUCCUGGGUGGGAACAAAUCCCCCAAGUAGCUCAGGUGUCUGCCGGACACUGUCACAGCUGUGCUGCUGUAUGUUUCCUCUACAGGGUGAUAGUGUACAGUGCUGCAGGGCUCAGUCAGAGCCCAGGAUGUCCUGAAGCAAGAGGAAAAGCAGUGGUGAUGUGGAGCCGAUGCUAGGAAGUGCAAAGCCAUAACCAUGGAAACAAAACUGAAAGUACUAUACUACACUACCACCAUUUUAGGGUAACUGUAAAAGUAAAAAUAGUCUAUUAGUAUUUGUGAGUUUGGUUUGCUUAUGUUUUACAUUGUAUAUUCUUGCUAAAGAAGUAGAAGACGUUGUCAGCCUUAGGAAUGUGUCUGACUUGUGAACCUUCUCUGGAACAGAAAUUAUUUGGAUGUUUGGGACUUACUG